CACUACAGAUAAAGGGCAUGUAUGCAUGAUCUAUAAAGAACUUCUCAAACUCAACACCCAAAAAAAUGAAUCUGGUUAGCUUCUUAAAGGAAUCUAUGGUUAGUACACAGCUAGGCACAAGAUUGGACAGCUUUGAGAACUGACAAGAAUUUCUGCACCUAGCCAAACUAUGGAAAGAACCUAGAU